AGCCGCGCGGUGAGAACAGAGCGAACUAUUCUUUCGCCUUUUACUAAAGAAUACCGUGUUCUCGCCGUAUAUCUCGGCGUACGCCUGUUUUUGGAGGGUUCUCUUCCUUCGAAGUA
rfam:Populus trichocarpa isolate Nisqually-1 chromosome 5, whole genome shotgun sequence.